GAUGAACGCUGGCGGCGUGCCUAAUACAUGCAAGUCGAGCGAACAGACGAGGAGCUUGCUCCUCUGACGUUAGCGGCGGACGGGUGAGUAACACGUGGAUAACCUACCUAUAAGACUGGGAUAACUUCGGGAAACCGGAGCUAAUACCGGAUAAUAUAUUGAACCGCAUGGUUCAAUAGUGAAAGACGGUUUUGCUGUCACUUAUAGAUGGAUCCGCGCCGCGUUAGCUAGUUGGUAAGGUAACGGCUUACCAAGGCAACGAUGCGUAGCCGACCUGAGAGGGUGAUCGGCCACACUGGAACUGAGACACGGGCCAGACUCCUACGGGAGGCAGCAGUAGGGAAUAUUCCGCAAUGGGCGAAAGCCUGACGGAGCAACGCCGCGUGAGUGAUGAAGGUCUUCGGAUCGUAAAGCUCUGUUAUUAGGAAAGAACAAAUGUGUAAGUAACUAUGCACGUCUUGACGGUACCUAAUCAGAAAGCCACGGCUAACUACGUG
rnacentral:rRNA from 1 species